rnacentral:tRNA from 1 species
CAGAGAUUAGUUUAAUUAAAAUAUUAAUUUUGGAGAUUAGUGAUGGGGUGUAAAUUCUUCUUCUCUGA